UACGAAGGGGGCUAGCGUUGUUCGGAAUUACUGGGCGUAAAGCGCACGUAGGCGGCUUUGUAAGUUAGAGGUGAAAGCCCAGGGCUUAACCCUGGAAUUGCCUUUAAGACUGCAUCGCUAGAAUCGUGGAGAGGUGAGUGGAAUUCCGAGUGUAGAGGUGAAAUUCGUAGAUAUUCGGAAGAACACCAGUGGCGAAGGCGACUCACUGGACACGUAUUGACGCUGAGGUGCGAAAAGCGUGGGGAGCAAACAGG
rnacentral:rRNA from 1 species